GACGAACGCUGGCGGCGUGCUUAACACAUGCAAGGCGAACGGAGAGGACCGGCCUUUGUGUGGUGCGCGAGUGGCGAACGGGAGAGUAACACGUGAGUAACCUGCCCUUGACUGGGGGAUAACUUCAGGAAACUGGGGCUAAUACCGGAUAGGAGCUCCUGCUGCAGGGUGGGGGUUGGAAAGUUUCGGCGGUUGGGGAUGGACUCGCGGCAUAUCAGCUUGUUGGUGGGGUAGUGGCUUACCAAGGCGUUGACGGGUAGCCGGCCUGAGAGGGUGACCGGCCACCUUGGGACUGCGGUACGGCCCAGCCUCCUACGGGCGGCAGCAGUGGGGAAUAUUGCACACUGGGCGGAGGCCUGCCGCAGCCACGCCGCGUGCGGGAUGACGGCCUUCGGGUUGUAAACCGCUUUCGCCUGUGACGAAGCGUGAGUGACGGUAAUGGGUAAAGAAGCACCGGCUAACUACGUG
rnacentral:rRNA from 1 species